UGGGGAAUAUUGAACAUUGGGCGCAAGCCUGAUCCAGCCAUGCCGCGUGAGUGAUGAAGGCCCUAGGGUUGUAAAGCUCUUUCACCGGUGAAGAUAAUGACGGUAACCGGAGAAGAAGCCCCGGCUAACUUCGUGCCAGCAGCCGCGGUAAUACGAAGGGGGCUAGCGUUGUUCGGAAUUACUGGGCGUAAAGCGCACGUAGGCGGAUCGAUCAGUUAGGGGUGAAAUCCCGGGGCUCAACCCCGGAACUGCCUCUAAUACUGUCGAUCUGGAGUUCGAGAGAGGUGAGUGGAAUUCCGAGUGUAGAGGUGAAAUUCGUAGAUAUUCGGAGGAACACCAGUGGCGAAGGCGGCUCACUGGCUCGAUACUGACGCUGAGGUGCGAAAGCGUGGGGAGCAAACA
rnacentral:rRNA from 1 species